rnacentral:rRNA from 1 species
AGAGUUUGAUCCUGGCUCAGAACGAACGCUGGCGGCAGGCCUAACACAUGCAAGUCGAACGCGCACGAUCCAGCUUGCUGGGUACGGCGAGUGGCGCACGGGUGAGUAACGCGUGGGAAUUUGCCUCAUAGUAUGGAAUAACCAUUGGAAACGAUGGCUAAUACCAUAUACGCCCUUCGGGGGAAAGAUUUAUCGCUAUGAGAUAAGCCCGCGUUAGAUUAGCUAGUUGGUAGGGUAAUGGCCUACCAAGGCGACGAUCUAUAGCUGGUCUUAGAGGACGACCAGCCACACUGGAACUGAGACACGGUCCAGACUCCUACGGGAGGCAGCAGUGGGGAAUAUUGGACAAUGGGCGAAAGCCUGAUCCAGCCAUGCCGCGUGAGUGAUGAAGGCCUUCGGGUUGUAAAACUCUUUUACCAGGGAAGAUAAUGACGGUACCUGGAGAAUAAGCCCCGGCUAACUCUGUGCCAGCAGCCGCGGUAAUACAGAGGGGGCUAGCGUUGUUCGGAAUCACUGGGCGUAAAGCGCGUGUAGGCGGUUUGAUUAGUCAGAUGUGAAAUCCCGGGGCUUAACCUCGGAACUGCAUUUGAAACUGUCAGACUAGAGUACGGUAGGGGAUAGUGGAAUUCCUAGUGUAGAGGUGAAAUUCGUAGAUAUUAGGAGGAACACCGAUGGCGAAGGCAGCUAUCUGGGCCGUUACUGACGCUGAGACGCGAAAGCGUGGGGAGCAAACAGGAUUAGAUACCCUGGUAGUCCACGCCGUAAACGAUGGGUGCUAGAUGUCGGGAGGUUUUCCUUUCGGUGUCGCAGCUAACGCAUUAAGCACCCCGCCUGGGAAGUACGGUCGCAAGAUUAAAACUCAAAGGAAUUGACGGGGACCCGCACAAGCGGUGGAGCAUGUGGUUUAAUUCGAGGCAACGCGAAGAACCUUACCAGUCCUUGACAUGCCUGUCAUAGGUUCCGUAACUGGAACCGUCGGUUCGGCCGGACAGUGCACAGGUGCUGCAUGGCUGUCGUCAGCUCGUGUCGUGAGAUGUUGGGUUAAGUCCCGCAACGAGCGCAACCCUUACUUUUAGUUACCAGCACGUUAUGGUGGGUACUCUAGAGGAACUGCCGGCGUCAAGCCGGAGGAAGGUGGGGAUGACGUCAAGUCAUCAUGGCCCUUAUGGGCUGGGCUACACACGUGCUACAAUGGCGGUGACAGUGGGCAGCUACAUAGCAAUAUGAUGCUAAUCUCUAAAAACCGCCCCAGUUCAGAUUGCACUCUGCAACUCGAGUGCAUGAAGUUGGAAUCGCUAGUAAUCGUGGAUCAGCAUGCCACGGUGAAUACGUUCCCGGGUCUUGUACACACCGCCCGUCACACCAUGGGAGUUGUUUCUGCCUGAAGCCGGUGAGCUAACCUUCGGGAAGCAGCCGUCCACGGCAGGGGCGAUGACUGGGGUGAAGUCAGAACAAGGUA